GACGAACGCUGGCGGCGUGCCUAACACAUGCAAGUCGAACGGAAAGGCCCUGCUUGCUGGGUACUCGAGUGGCGAACGGGUGAGUAACACGUGGGUGAGCUGCCCUGCACUUCGGGAUAAGCUUGGGAAACUGGGUCGAAUACCGGAUAGGACCGCACCGCAGUGUGUGUGGUGGAAAGUUUUUUCGGUGUAGGAUGUGCUCGCGGCCUAUCAGCUUGUUGGUGGGGUAAUGGCCUACCAAGGCGGCGACGGGUAGCCGGCCUAAGAGAGUGUACGGCCACAUUAGAACUGAGAUACAGCCCGGACUCCUGCAGGAGGCAGCAGGGGGGAAUGUUGGACAAUGGGCGCAAGCCUGAUGCAGCAAGGCCGCGUGGGGGAUGAAGGCCUUCGGGUUGUAAGCACCUUUCGCUAGGGACGAAGCUUUGUUGUGACGGUACCUAGAUAAGAAGCACCGGCUAACUACGUG
rnacentral:rRNA from 1 species